UCGAGAAUCUUCGGCAAUGGGCGCAAGCCUGACCGAGCGACGCCGCGUGGAGGAUGAAGGCCUCGGGUUGUAAACUCCUGUCGAGGGGGGAGGAAGGGGUAACCUUGACCUAUCCCUGGAGGAAGCACGGGCUAAGUUCGUGCCAGCAGCCGCGGUAAGACGAACCGUGCGAACGUUAUUCGGAAUCACUGGGCUUAAAGCGCGUGUAGGCGGAUGGGGGACGUCGGUUGCUGAAAUCCCCCGGCUCAACCGGGGAACGAACGGGACGGCCGAUCGACGACCGUCCGUGGAGGGACGUAGGGGGACCUGGAACUUCCGGUGGAGCGGUGAAAUGCGUUGAGAUCGGAAGGAACGCCCGUGGCGAAAGCGAGGUCCUGGACGUUUUCUGACGCUGAGACGCGAAAGCCAGGGGAGCGAACGGGAUUAGAU
rnacentral:rRNA from 1 species